rnacentral:ncRNA from 2 species
ACAAUUGCAUAAACGUAAGGUGUCUGCAGGUGAUACAUUUUUGUUCACUGUGCAGGUGAAAAGGGAAGCAGGUGCAAAUCCUGCGCGAUCUCGUCACCGUAUUUCACAAGUUUAGCCAAUAAGCCACUGGGCAUUGCCUGGGAAGGAUGUCUAAACGCCGCAUGAAACAUUUUUUUAACUGGUUAUAGCAUGCCGAAGUGAUAAGUCGGGAGACCUGCCUUUCGUAGUACAUGGGU